AGCAGCCGCGGUAAUUCCAGCUCCAAUAGCGUAUAUUAAAGUUGUUGCAGUUAAAAACUCGUAGUUGAAUUUCGGGACCAAUCUGCCGGUCGUGCCUCCGGUACGCACUGGUUUUAUUGGUUUCUCCCUUCUGACGAACCAUGAUGUCAUUAAUUUGGUGUCAUGGGGAAUCAGGACUGUUACUUUGAAAAAAUUAGAGUGUUUAUAGCAGGCUUACGCUUGAAUACAUUAGCAUGGAAUAAUGAAAUAGGACGUUUGACCCUAUUUUGUUGGUUUCUAGGAUCGACGUAAUGAUUAAUAGGGAUAGUUGGGGGCAUUAGUAUUCAAUUGUCAGAGGUGAAAUUCUUGGAUUUAUUGAAGACUAACUACUGCGAAAGCAUUUGCCAAGGAUGUUUUCAUUAAUCAAGAACGAAAGUUAGGGGAUCGAAGACGAUCAGAUACCGUCGUAGUCUUAACCAUAAACUAUGCCGACUAGGGAUCGGAUGAUGUUAAUUUUUAAUGACUCAUUCGGCGCCUUACG
rnacentral:rRNA from 1 species